rnacentral:lncRNA from 10 species
GCCGCCUGCCGGGAGUUGUGGUUUCAUGGUCGACGGAGGCUGCGAAGGGAAACCCCAGCCGGAAGUAGACUCCCAGGAUGCAGCGGAGGCGCGAAGGCAUGCGCCGGUGGACGCUCUGAUUGGUUCCUCCUGCUGUUUUUAAAGGGAGGGGGCGGGACAGAGCUGUUGCCGUGGCAACUGGGAGGCACUCUCAGGCUGUUUUCCCGAGGACCUCAAAUCCGGACUUUUUUUCUGUUUUUCUUUCUUUUUUGGUUUUGUUUUGGACGCGUUGUGGCCCAGGCUGGAGUGCAGUGGCGUGAUCAUAGCUCAGUGCAGCUUCGAACUGCUGGGGCAUACUCAUCUAAUAACGAGGACAGCAUCUGCAAUUUAGAGAUUCCUGUCCGCAACCUUCAUUGCUCCAACGACAACUUUUGGGUAAGAGUCAUUAGGAUGCCGUCUAUCAUGGAGGAAGCUGAGGCUCAGAGAGGGCCACCAAGUUGCUGGAAGACACAGCACGUGCGACCUCAGGGAGGCUGCAAGGAGAGAAAGCCCCAGUCCGCGAGACUCCCAGCCUCCAGCUUCAGUUUACCCUCCAAUCCCCAAGCCCUCAGGGGCAGGAGCCGAAUGGAGCGGCAGGCUUGGAUUCACCUGCUAAGUGGGGUGAGGUCAAGGGAAUGAAAUAAACCUCGGAGCCUAGAGCCUGCCCUGGUCUCCGCGUGAUCCUGCCUAGGAGGAGCAGGGCGGGAGCUUUAGAAUGGAACCUGGAAGGUGUGCCCACCUGUGUCGUUCAGCCGGGGCAGCAGGCCAGAGGCGGGAGCGCCUGCUGUGGGGCAGUAGGCUUGGGAAGGGUGAGAAUAGGAAUAUCUGGGGGUAACUGUGUUCCAGGCUAAUAUCCCAGUUGCAAAGGGGAGCUGGUUUGGUGGCUCAGGCCUGUCAUCCCAGCACUUUGGGAGGCUGAGGCGGGCGGAUCACCUAAGGUCAGAGUUCGAGACCAGCUUGGCAAAUACGCAAGCAUGCCUGGCAACAUGGCAAAACCCCGUCUCUAGUAAAAAUACAAAAAUUAUCCGGGGGUGGUGGCGGGCACCUGUAAUCCCAGCUACUCGGGAGGCUGAGGCAGGAGAAUCGCUUGAACCCGGGAGGCGGAGGUUGCAGUGAGCCAAGAUCUCGCCACUGCACUCCAGCCUGGGUGACAGAGCGAGAACCUGUCUCAAAAAAAAAAAAGUGCAAAGGGAGGUCAGUUCAGUGCCUCAGGCCUGUAAUCCCAGCACUUUGGGAGGCUGCGGCGGGAGGAUCGCUUGAGCCCAGGAGUUCCAGACAAGCCUUGGGCAACCGAGAUACUGAGACCCAGUCUCCACCAAAGGAAAAAAAGAAAUUAGCCAGGCAUGGUGGUGCACACCUGUGGUCCCAGAUACUCGGGAGGCUGAGGCAGGAGGACUGCUUGAGCCCAGGAGGUUUAGACUGCAGUGAGCUGAGAUGGCGCCACUGUACUCCAGCCUGGGUUGACAGAACAGGACCCUGUCUCAAAACAAAACAAGUGCAAAGGCCCUGAGGCAGGAACAAGCGUGGACAGAGGAGCAAUUUGAGCAGAGUGGGGCUGGGGAGAGGGAGCAAAGAUGUAGCUGGGGCUCAGUUAGGGGGCCUGACCACACGGGGGCUCGGGGGCCUCAGCUCAAGCUAUCCUCCAUCCCCAAACCCUGGCACUUCAGUUUCCCCAUCAGCCCAGAACGAGGACUCGACCUCACUCUGGAAGGGCCUGGCAGCCUCCUUACAGCACAUUCCAGACCCAGAAACUUGGGUGGAAACCGACUUCUGAACUAUUUCACCAUUCCUUAUGCGUUAGUCUUUUCUUUUAUUUGAUGAGAUCCCAGCACUUUGGGAGGCCGAGGCGGGCGGAUCACGUGAGGUCAGGAGUUUGAGACCAGCCUGGCCAACAUGGUGAAACCCCGUCUCUACUAAAAAUACGAAAAUUAGCCGGGCAUGGUGGCCUGUGCCUGUAAUCCCAGCUACUCAGGAGGCCAAGGGAGGAAAAUCACUUGAACCUGAGAGGUGGAGGUUACAGUGAGCCAAGAUCGCACCACUGCACUCCAGCCUUGGGCAAUGUAGCCAAACCCCAUCACUACAAAUAAUACAAAAAAAUUUUGUUGGCUGUGAUGGUGCCUGCCUGUGGCCCCAUCUACUUGGGAGGCUGAGGUGGGAAGAUGUAGAAUUGCUUGAGCCAGGAGGCAGAGGCUGCAGUGAGCUGUGAUUGAGCCACUGCACUCCAGCCUGGGCGACAGAGCGAGACCCUGUCUCAAAAAAAAAAGAACAUAAUCUGGGUUUUGGAAUAAGACAGCAGUUUCUGAAACAGCUCAUUGCCCAAAUUCCAGCCUCGCAACUCUGUAGCCGCCACCACCCCCCAGCCCCACCAUUUAUUUUAACUACAUCUGUCUCCACCACUCCUGUAUUAAGUAAAUGCAAUAUUGGCUGGUCAUGGUGGCUCAUGCCUGUAAUUCCAGCACUUUGGGAGGCUGAGGCAGGCAGAUCCCCUGAGGUCAGGAGUUCGAGACUGGCCUGGCCAACGUGGUGAAACCCUGUCUCCACUAAAAAUUCAAAAAUUAGCCGGACGUGGUAGUGGGUGGUGCCUGUAAUCCCAGCUACUUGGGAGGCUGAGGUAAGAGAAAUGCUUGAAUCCAAGAGACUGAGGUUGCAGUGAGCUGAGAUCUCGCCGCUGCACUCCAGCCUGAACGACAGAGCGAGACUCCGUCUCAAAAAUAAAUUAAUAAAUACAACAUUAAUUAUUUUUCUUGCUUAAGUUUUACGAAGAGACUUAAUAUCACCAUCAAAAGUGGGAAACCAUAUAUCUGGCCGGGCGUGGUGGCUCCCGCCUGUCAUCCCAGCACUACGGGAGGCCGAGGCGGGCGGAUCCCCUGAGGCCGGGAGCUGGAGACCAGCCUGGCUAACAUGGUGAAACCCUCAUCUCCAAUAAAAAUAACAAAAAUUAGCCGGGCAUGGUGGGUGCCUGUAAUCCCAGCUAUUCAGGAGGCUGAGGCAGAAGAAUCACUUGAACCCGGGAGGCGGAGGUUGCAGGGAGCCGAGAUCACACCACUGCCCUCCGGCCUGGGCGACAGAGCGAGACUCUGUCUAAAAACAAAACAAAACAAAACCCAACCAAGCAAACCCCACAGAGUCGAGAAUCGCUAGAUGGAAGGGGAUGGCCCAGGUCCCUGGAGCCCCUGUGACAAAUUACCACAAACUCGGUGCCUUAAAGCAACGUUCAUUUUCUUACAUUUCUGGAAAUGAAAAGUCCAAAAUCAGGACU